AGACACACAUACUGAAACAGACAUACACGCAUACAGGCAUACAUACUGAGACAUACACACAGGCAUACAUAGUGACAGACAGACACAUACUAACAUAUAUACAGACACACAUGCAUGAGGACAUAAAGACACAUACAUACAUAUAGACACCGACAUACAUACAUACAUACAUACACACACACAGACAUACAGACACUGUCAUCCAUAC